CAGUCGCCGCGGGAAUACGAAGGGUGCGAGCGUUAAUCGGAAUUACUGGGCGUAAAGCGUGCGCAGGCGGUUGUGUAAGACAGGUGUGAAAUCCCCGGGCUUAACCUGGGAACUGCGCUUGUGACUGCACAGCUAGAGUAUGGCAGAGGGGGGUGGAAUUCCACGUGUAGCAGUGAAAUGCGUAGAGAUGUGGAGGAACACCGAUGGCGAAGGCAGCCCCCUGGGCCAAUACUGACGCUCAUGCACGAAAGCGUGGGGAGCAAACAGGAUUAGAUACCCCCGUAGUCCCUGUCUCUUAUAC
rnacentral:rRNA from 1 species